GUCGGAUUAGUUCAGUGGUAGAGCGGCGGCUUCCAAACUCGCUAACCGGGUUCGAUUCCUCGAUCCGAUGCCA
rnacentral:tRNA from 1 species